rnacentral:rRNA from 1 species
GACGGAGGAUGCAAGUGUUAUCCGGAAUCACUGGGCGUAAAGCGUCUGUAGGUGGUUCGAAAAGUCCACUGUUAAAAAUUGAAGCUUAACUUCAAAGAUGCCGUGGAAACUUUCAAACUAGAGUAUGGUAGGGGUAGAGGGAAUUCCAGUGGAGCGGUGAAAUGCGUAGAUAUUGGAAAGACCACCGAUGGCGAAGGCACUCUACUGGGCCAUUACUGACACUGAGGAGCGAAAGCGUGGGGAGCGAACAGG